AGUUAUAUAGAUUCUUUAGGAUUCAAGCAGAAUACCUCCAAAUCUCAUUAAUUUUUUGGUGGGAUUUCAAAAAACGGAAUCCCCACAAAAUCCAAAAUUUUAUGAAAUCCAAACAAUCCAUUACCAUUUAGAUUUUAAUAGAUUUUGAAUACCUGUAAAAUAAUUUAAAAUCUCAAUUGACUAUCCUAAGAUUUUAAAACAUUUUGAAUAAUCCCAAUUGAAUAUUCUCGGAUUUCAUUAAUGAAAAAAAAUCCUUUAAAAUCUCAAUCGAAUAUACCCCCUUAAAGUAUAAUACCCGUCCUAAAAUUNCAAAACUCAACCGGAACCGAAAAACCAAACCGAACCGUGUAAAUUCGGUUCGGUCCUAAUUUUCUAAAAAUUCGGUCCAUUCGGCCCGGACCGAAUAGACCGAAAUAAAGUUCGGUCUGGUCCGGUCCGUAAAAAAAUAUUCGGUCCGGACCGAAUAGACCGAAUAAACUAAAAUUUAUAUAUAUAUAUAUAUAUAU
rnacentral:lncRNA from 1 species